AGAAAAGUGAUCAGGACCACUCCCGAUGCAUGGCUUCCCCAUCUCUUCCUGGGUAGGCCCUCUUGGGGAAAUAUCCCCACCUCUGUACCCAUGAUUGAGUCUUUAGGCAUAGAUAUCUUACUAAAGGAAUUUUUUGCUACCCUCCAUUCUUAGGGUUGUGACUUUCAGAGGAGAAAAUUCUCAGAACAGAUUAAAGCAGGUUAAACUCCAAGUUGCCAAUUUUCAUUGCAUAAGAAAUGAUUUCAUCAAGAACAUUGUGAUGAUACUCUUUAAAUAUUUAAUUGAGGUCUUUGCAGAUUUAAUUAAUUAAAUUAAGAUGAGGUUAGACUGGAUUAGGGCGAGCCAGGAAUGCCAAGGAUGGUGAGCAACUAUGAAGAGCAGGAGAAGGAAGGAAGAACGCCCUUACAGAGCUUUCAGAGAGAGCACAGCUCUGUAUAACACCUUGAUUGCAGACUUCUGGCUCCAGAAUGAUGUAUUUGAACUAAAAAAAAUAAAAACAUCUAAACCUACUUUAUGACUGCUAUAUAUUGACAUAAAAAGGAAACCAAACGGACAACAAAAGACACCAGGAAAUUGGAACUUCUUAGAUAAACAUAUGGCUUCUUCCUGCAGAGCAUCCCCUCAGUAAAUCAUGGCACCUGAAUCUCCAUCUUGGACUCUGCUUCUGAAAACUGAACAUGAAACAGUAUAAGUCCAGGGUAAAUAAGGAGGGUGGCAACAGUGUGAAGAAGCCAGCCUGGAGUUGGAACCAGAAGAUGAAUGGUUGAGGGGACUCUCUAAACUGGAACAAAUUGACAUAACAUAAGGUGUGAUCCCUAAAGGCUAGAGAAGUCACACUUAUUUCGGUGCUAGUUACAAGGAACAGAGUUGGAGCCACUUGAUCUCCUUGUGCAGGCUCAGCCACUUCUCAGUUACGAAGGUCCUUGGUGGGAAGGAUUUGAGGACAGCCACACCACACUGGAGGAGCCAGCUUCAAGAUACGUGUACUGUUCAUCCUCCUCAGAGAUGUGUCCACUUCUCCUGACUUGGGUUUUCUUUGUUUCUAAAACCCAGAAUUAAAAACAACUUUCUGAAAA
rnacentral:lncRNA from 1 species